rnacentral:rRNA from 1 species
GGAAUCUUCCGCAAUGGACGAAAGUCUGACGGAGCAACGCCGCGUGAGUGAUGAAGGUUUUCGGAUCGUAAAACUCUGUUGUUAGGGAAGAACAAGUACCGGAGUAACUGCCGGUACCUUGACGGUACCUAACCAGAAAGCCACGGCUAACUACGUGCCAGCAGCCGCGGUAAUAC